rnacentral:lncRNA from 1 species
CUCUUUCUUCAUGGUACAUUUUUUUCCAAUGUGAAAAUGAUUUCCUGUUUAUGUAUGCUUUUAGGAUUUUAUAAUUUAUGUGUGGCUUUGUUUUCUCUGCAGGAUGUUAAGUGCCAAGGCUGCUUUAACAUGUAAGAUCUUUGUCCUUUGGUUUUAUUAUGUUUAGCUUAGUAUUUCCUAGUGUUCCAAUCUUUAUGUGGGACUAUUACUUAGAGAAUCAAAGUAUUAUGUUGUAUUAUCUCAAUAGUUUCAGCCGUGAUAAUCAAAGUGUACAGCCCGCCUCUUGGCUUAUUGGUGUUAUCGAUAAUCGAAUCGA